rnacentral:rRNA from 1 species
GUCUCAGUUCGGAUUGAAGGCUGAAAUUCGCCUUCAUGAAGCUGGAAUUGCUAGUAAUGGCAGGUCCGCAUACUGCCGUGAAUACGUUCCCGGGCCUUGUACACACCGCCCGUCACACCAUGAGAGUUGGGAAUACCCGAAGCCUGUGAGCUAACUUUUAGAGGCAGCAGUCGAAGGUAGAAUCAAUGAUUGGGGUGAAGUCGUAACAAGGUAUC